GGGUUAUAGGUCAUAGGUUGGAGUUAUAAGUGGGGAAAAAAGACCUAAAAUCCCUUUUACUGAACAUUAGAGAAUUUGAUCUUCAGUAUUCAUGAGUCCACCAUACGACUCGUAUGGUGAAAGUACAAGUGAUCCUCAUGACUAGUAAGCUUGGCAAAUUCAAGAUGGUCUACUAUGGUCAUCAUACGAGUCAAACCUAUGACUAGUAACAUUACAAUUCGGCCUGUAAC
rnacentral:lncRNA from 1 species